UUACUACUUGGAUAACCGUGGUAAUUCUAGAGCUAAUACAUGCUGAAAAUCCCGACUUCGGAAGGGAUGUAUUUAUUAGAUUAAAAACCAAUGCCCUCUGGGCUCUCUGGUGACUCAUGAUAACUGCGCGAAUCGCAUGGCCUUGCGCCGGCGAUGGUUCAUUCAAAUUUCUUCCCUAUCAACUUUCGAUGUUUGGGUAGUGGCCAAACAUGGUUGCAACGGGUAACGGAGGGUUAGGGCUCGGCCCCGGAGAAGGAGCCUGAGAAACGGCUACUACAUCCAAGGAAGGCAGCAGGCGCGCAAAUUACCCAAUCCCGACACGGGGAGGUAGUGACAAUAAAUACUGAUACAGGGCUCUUUUGGGUCUUGUAAUUGGAAUGAGUACAAUUUAAAUCCCUUAACGAGGAACAAUUGGAGGGCAAGUCUGGUGAACGUUGCUGGUGCCAGAGAUAGCCGCCCCUCGGUAAAUAAAGCAGCUAGUCGAGUGCUCAUAGGAGUGACGGGUGAGCACCGGCGAGACAACCUGGAUCGGGGAAGGCUUAAGGGCUCCCGCGUGGGGCCUAUGCUAAUCCCGAGCAGAGCCGAUACUUCUCGGCCUGUGUAGAGCGCGCAAAGGUGUCGGUCCCGGGGAGCCCCCUCCCCGGGGCUUAAGGUACGUGCCAAUCCCCUGCGAAAGCAGGGCCCUGCGGACGGAGCACCCGUCAUGCGAAGCCGCGGGGGGCAGGCGGCCCCGCCGGGGCCGCCUGCCGUGAACAACGGUGGCCAGCAGCCGCGGUAAUUCCAGCUCCAAUAGCGUAUAUUAAAGUUGUUGUGGUUAAAAAGCUCGUAGUUGAACCUUGGGCCUGGCCGGCCGGUCCGCCUCACCGCGUGCACUGGUCCGGCCGGGCCUUUCCCCCCGCGGAACCCCAUGCCCUUCACUGGGCGUGGCGGGGAAACGGGACUUUUACUUUGAAAAAAUUAGAGUGCUCCAGGCAGGCCUAUGCUCGAAUACAUUAGCAUGGAAUAAUGAAAUAGGACGUGCGGUUCCAUUUUGUUGGUUUCUAGGACCGCCGUAAUGAUUAAUAGGGACAGUCGGGGGCAUCAGUAUUCAAUUGUCAGAGGUGAAAUUCUUGGAUUUAUUGAAGACUAGCUACUGCGAAAGCAUUUGCCAAGGAUGUUUUCAUUAAUCAGGAACGAAAGUUAGGGGAUCGAAGACGAUCAGAUACCGUCGUAGUCUUAACCAUAAACUAUGCCGACUAGGAU
rnacentral:rRNA from 1 species